AACAGGUCGACUCAAGUACAAGUGCACUUUUUCUUCUUUUUCUUUUUUCUUUCUUUUUUUUUUUUCAAUCAAAAUUACAAUUUGGAUAGUCUUCCAAGUUGAACAUCUGCUCAGGUUGAGUCCAACUCAGUUCUGGCAUUGAGGUUGUUGGUUUUUGGUACAGAGUCUGUUUAUUGUAUAAAAAAGCAAGGAAUUCCU